UUUAAAGGCCACAAAAACAGGAACUGUUUCCAUGUGUAUGUCAUGUCUGUUUUCCUCCAGGAGGGUUUUUCCACACACAGAGUCACUUUGCAUCAGCACAAGCUUCAGCGCUCCGAGUGUUUAUAUCGUUCAGACUCACACACUUUAUAACACACUGCUGUUUACCACGGUACACAACCAGCAAACACAAUGAAUCUCUUCAGCAGCUUCAUCUGGAUUCUGACAGCUUUUCUUCCAGCAGCAUCCAGAGGAAACACUGUGACUCAGCCUGAAGUUCUGACUGUUUCUGAAGGACGAGACGUCACUAUAGAGUGUAAAACUGAUCCUGGAAUAUAUGGCGAUGCUUUAGCUUGGUAUCAGCAGAAAUCUGGAGAAACUCCUAAACUCAUCAUUAAAAAAAUAAAUGAACUCUAUGAUAAGAGUUUCAGACGAUUCAGUGGGAAUGGAGUACGAGAUGGGACUGAUUUCACUCUGACCAUCAGAGGAGUCCAGACUGAAGAUGCCGGACAUUAUUACUGUAUGGGUUUUAACUGCAGACAAAAUUCUGUUGGUGAUUGUGUGGGUGGUGAUGUGUUCACACAGUGAUUGUGAUUCGUACAAAAACCUGUG